rnacentral:rRNA from 1 species
ACUACGGGGGGCAGCAGUGGGGAAUCUUGCACAAUGGAGGCAACCCUGAUGCAGCGACGCCGCGUGAGUGAAGAAGUAUUUCGGUCUGUAAAGCUCUAUCAGCAGGGAAGAACAAAGACUGUACCUGACUAAGACGCCCCGACUAACUACGUGCCAGCAGCCGCGGUAAUACGUAGGGGGCAAGCGUGAGCCGGAUUUACUGGGUGUAAAGGGAGCGUAGACGGUGUGGCAAGUCUGAAGUGAAAGCCCAGGGCUGAACCCUGGUACUGCUUUGGAAACUGGUAGACUAGAGUGCUGGAGAGGUGAGUGGAAUUCCGGGUGUCGCGGUGAAAUGCGUAGAUAGUAGGAGGAACACCAGUGGCGAAGGCGGCUUACUGGACAGUAACUGACGUUGAGGCUCGAAAGCGUGGGGAGCAAACAGGAUUAGAUACCCGAGUAGUC